GGCUGUCUGAUCAAAACGGAUCCGGAUAGCGGAUGCAAGGGUUAAAAGGGAAACAGGUGUGAUUCCUGUACGAUCUCGUCACUGUGAUAAAGGAGCAUGGCUUUGCAAUAUGCCACUGGCUAAGCUGGGAAGGUAAAAGGCAUGUGAUGAUCUUUCAGCCAGGAAACCUGCCAGUUGUUUGGUACAGGG
rnacentral:ncRNA from 2 species